CAGAAGGAAUUGUGUUGUGUAAUUGCAGUCAAGUGCAACGCAGAAUUAAUAAGGUACCUCUCAUACUUUGGAGAUUACGAGUAAGAUCCAAGGUUCAGUACCGAUCGAUAAGAGAGGUGUAAUAUCCUCUGCCCUUAUCAAAGAUUAGGGAAGAAUUGCACAGUUCUAGGGCAAGGGCAGGGAAUAUCAUCAGUACAAGAACUCUGGUUAUCCCUCAACAGGAAGAGGAUCAUCAUAAAGAGAACCUUAAAACUCAAGUUGCAGAAAAAGCAUCAUGGAACAUAAGAUCUCCUCUACUGAAUAUUUACUUGAUGCACCUGUGUGUUUUGAAAUGGUUGAACUUGUGUUUAUGUUGAGAUUUGAUGCAUGUACGAAAAUUCUAUGGAAUUGUAUGACAAUAGAUGUGAUUUCAUAA